rnacentral:rRNA from 1 species
UUUAUACGGAGAGUUUGAUCCUGGCUCAGGACGAACGCUGGCGGCGUGCUUAACACAUGCAAGUCGAACGGUCUACCUCGACAGAAACCUUCGGGUUGAAGACG